GUCAAAAUCCGUGCCGGAAUUGCGCGUUCGUCUUCGAUCGCAUAUACUUCGUGCGUUGACGUAACACAGUGUGUUCUGCGGCAACCAACCGCAAAACCCUGAAAAAACCUCGCUCCGGCGGGGUUUUUU
rnacentral:sRNA from 1 species